rnacentral:rRNA from 1 species
UACGAACUGUGCAAACGUUAUUCGGAAUCACUGGGCUUAAAGGGUGCGUAGGCGGCUGUCUAAGCAGGGUGUGAAAGCCCCCGGCUCACCCGGGGAUCUGCAUCCCAAACUGCUUGGCUUGAGUACGGGAGAGGAUAGGGGAAUUCCUGGUGUAGCGGUGAAAUGCGUAGAUAUCAGGAGGAACACCGGUGGCGAAGGCGCCUAUCUGGCCCGAUACUGACGCUGAAGCGCGAAAGCUAGGGGAGCAAACGGG